UUCAGAUCGUAUAAAUCUUUCGCCUUUUACUAAAGAUUUCCGUGGAGAGGAACACUCAGAGUUUUAACUAAUUUUUUGUGGCCCUACUUUUCAGUAGGGCUGUUCUAAAGUUCAAUGAAAGAUCUUACGUUUGUUUAGAUGUGUGUGCGGUGUUGUUACACGCUACACAGAAACAAACUUUGAAUGUACUACUCCUUCAUAUGUAAGUCGGUGCUGCUGUGCCGAAUCGCUGCUAUGGUUAUGUCACCAUGACCUUCGUGACAGGACUGCAGAAAGGGAAGAAAAGAAAUUAAAAGAGAAGCAAAACCACCACCAUUUCAGAUUUCUUUUUAACAUUGUGCCUUUAUUUGAGAAAGGCCGCAAAGAAAAGCCAGGGAUCAAGUGAGACUGACAUCAGCGGUAGACAUGGGUACACUAAUAGGCAUUCACUUCAUGCACAACAUGACUGACAGGAUGAGCAGAACCCACACAAAGUAAACAAGCGGCUGGAAGAAGGAUGAGACAGAAGAUGGUGGAGGAGAUCUCAGCAGGAGAUGCUGCCAAACCUGCAGAGCUUUUCCAGCAACUUCUGUUUUUGUUCCUGUUGCUCUGCCGCCAUCUUGCACCAGGCUGUCUAUGAGUUGAUCUGACCUGUCCAUGAGGUUUCUCCACCACAUUGUCCUGGAUUCCACUAGAUAGUGACAUUUUAAAGUAAAUUAAAACAAAGUUUUCUGAGAGACUCAUUGUUGAGGUGUUAAGCUCGACAGCUUUGAUAAGUGAAAAUAUUCAUCGGACUCAGGUGGAUCUUUUCUCAAACGUACUGGUUUUUAAGGCUUGGCCUUGGUGUUGCUUGGCUGCAGAACCACUUCAACUCAUACCCUAGGUGCAGUCUUAUAAGUGCCUUGUAUAAGUGCAGGAAGGCAUCUCUAACUCAAAUCUUCUUGCAAUGAAAUCCAGCAUACCAUUUGCCUUCUUAAUUGCUUGCUGCACCUGCCUGUUUAAUUUCACUGACUGUCGUACAAGGGCACCCA